rnacentral:rRNA from 1 species
AUUGAACGCUGGCGGCAGGCCUAACACAUGCAAGUCGAGCGGAUGAAGGGAGCUUGCUCCUGGAUUCAGCGGCGGACGGGUGAGUAAUGCCUAGGAAUCUGCCUGGUAGUGGGGGAUAACGUCCGGAAACGGGCGCUAAUACCGCAUACGUCCUGAGGGAGAAAGUGGGGGAUCUUCGGACCUCACGCUAUCAGAUGAGCCUAGGUCGGAUUAGCUAGUUGGUGGGGUAAAGGCCUACCAAGGCGACGAUCCGUAACUGGUCUGAGAGGAUGAUCAGUCACACUGGAACUGAGACACGGUCCAGACUCCUACGGGAGGCAGCAGUGGGGAAUAUUGGACAAUGGGCGAAAGCCUGAUACAGCCAUGCCGCGUGUGUGAAGAAGGUCUUCGGAUUGUAAAGCACUUUAAGUUGGGAGGAAGGGCAGUAAGUUAAUACCUUGCUGUUUUGACGUUACCAACAGAAUAAGCACCGGUUAACUUCGUG